rnacentral:lncRNA from 1 species
GGAGAGCAAUGCAGACUCACCCACACAAAUUCUUGACCUUUAAAGCGUGCAGCUGUUCUCAGGCAACUUGAAAACUCAUUCUUUUCCCCCACCAGCUCACCAGUUGCAAAUGCUUCCUCCCCUCUCCAAACCUGAGCUGUAACUUGGAUGGUUUUGCUCCAGCAAGUAACAAAAUGAAGAAGGUGAUUUGCAACCAGGAUGUUGCUCCUUGAAAUGCUGCUCCAAGCAAGGGUCCAGCAGGAACUUCAGCUGUUACCUCCCCAUGUUUCCCAGGAGGUAGGAGGAGCGCCCAGUGAAAAGCUGAGCCCAAAAUGAACAUUUUCACACAAUCCUGCGUUGCACAAGCUUUCAAAAGGCUCUGGGCUGUGGAAGGAAACAAAUGCAAUGAUUCAACUUUCAUGGAAUCUUCACAUGGGAAAUGUUGGGGGUUUUUGAAAUGCUCAGGAAGAAUUCUGACUUCUGAAAGAACUUUGGGCAGUGUAUUUGGAGUUUGAAAGGUCUGGAAGGGGAGAUUUGGGAAGUUGGUAAAGCAAAAGCUGGGCCCGUUCUCCUGACUCUUGGCUGCUUCAUGAAGUUCAGGCCAUCCCCUGAACUGAGGAGAUC